rnacentral:rRNA from 1 species
UGGGGAAUAUUGCACAAUGGGCGCAAGCCUGAUGCAGCCAUGCCGCGUGUAUGAAGAAGGCCUUCGGGUUGUAAAGUACUUUCAGUCGGGAGGAAGGUGGUAAGGUUAAUAACCUUAUCAAUUGACGUUACCGACAGAAGAAGCACCGGCUAACUCCGUGCCAGCAGCCGCGGUAAUACGGAGGGUGCAAGCGUUAAUCGGAAUUACUGGGCGUAAAGCGCACGCAGGCGGUUGAUUGAGUCAGAUGUGAAAUCCCCGGGCUUAACCCGGGGAUUGCAUCUGAUACUGGUCAGCUAGAGUCUUGUAGAGGGGGGUAGAAUUCCAUGUGUAGCGGUGAAAUGCGUAGAGAUGUGGAGGAAGACCGGUGGCGAAGGCGGCCCCCUGGACAAAGACUGACGCUCAGGUGCGAAAGCGUGGGGAGCAAACAGG